rnacentral:rRNA from 1 species
AUUGAACGCUGGCGGCAGGCCUAACACAUGCAAGUCGAACGAGCGGCGGACGGGUGAGUAAUGUCUGGGAAACUGCCUGAUGGAGGGGGAUAACUACUGGAAACGGUAGCUAAUACCGCAUACCAUCAGAUGUGCCCAUAUGGGAUUAGCUAGUUGGUUGGGUAACGGCUCACCAAGGCGACGAUCCCUAGCUGGUCUGCGAGGAUGACCAGCCACACUGGAACUGAGACACGGUCCAGACUCCUACGGGAGGCAGCAGUGGGGAAUAUUGCCCCAUUGGCGCAAGCCGGAUGCAGCCAUGCCGCGUGUAUGAAGAAGGCCUUCGGGUUGUAAAGUACUUUCAGCGGGGAGGCGUUACCCGCAGAAGAAGCACCGGCUAACUCCGUGCCAGCAGCCGCGGUAAUUC